UGGGGAAUUUUGCGCAAUGGCCGCAGGGCUGACGCAGCAACGCCGCGUGGGUGAUGAAGGCCUUCGGGUCGUAAAGCCCUGUCAGGUGGGAAGAACGAUUGGGGGUCGAAUAGGCCUUUGAUGUGACGGUACCACCAGAGGAAGCACCGGCUAACUCCGUGCCAGCAGCCGCGGUAAUACGGAGGGUGCGAGCGUUAUUCGGAAUUACUGGGCGUAAAGCGCGUGUAGGCGGCCUGGCAAGUCUGAUGUGAAAGCCCCGGGCUUAACCUGGGAAGUGCAUUGGAAACUGUCGGGCUUGAGUACUGGAGAGGAUGGGGGAAUUCCCGGUGUAGAGGUGAAAUUCGUAGAGAUCGGGAGGAAUAUCAGUGGCGAAGGCGCCCAUCUGGACGGUAACUGACGCUGAGACGCGAAGGCGUGGGGAGCAAACA
rnacentral:rRNA from 1 species